rnacentral:rRNA from 1 species
AGCGAACGCUGGCGGUAGGCCUAACACAUGCAAGUCGAACGGCAGCACAGUAAGAGCUUGCUCUUACGGGUGGCGAGUGGCGGACGGGUGAGGAAUACAUCGGAAUCUACUUUUUCGUGGGGGAUAAUGUAGGGAAACUUACGCUAAUACCGCAUACGACCUACGGGUGAAAGCAGGGGAUCUUCGGACCUUGCGCGAUUGAAUGAGCCGAUGUCGGAUUAGCUAGUUGGCGGGGUAAAGGCCCACCAAGGCGACGAUCCGUAGCUGGUCUGAGAGGAUGAUCAGCCAAACUGGAACUGAGACACGGUCCAGACUCCUACGGGAGGCGGCAGUGGGGAAUAUUGGACAAUGGGCGCAAGCCUGAUCCAGCCAUACCGCGUGGGUGAAGAAGGCCUUCGGGUUGUAAAGCCCUUUUGUUGGGAAAGAAAAGCAGCAGGUUAAUACCCCGCUGUUCUGACGGUACCCAAAGAAUAAGCACCGGCUAACUUCGU